rnacentral:rRNA from 1 species
GGUUCGAUCAUGGCUCAGAUUGAACGCUGGCGGGAUGCUUUACACAUGCAAGUCGAACGGCAUAAUGGACUUCGGUCUGGUGGCGAGUGGCGAACGGUGAGUAAUGUAUCGGAACGUGCCUAGUAGCGGGGGAUAAUCUACGCGAAAGCGUAGCUAAUACCGCACAUUGCCUCGGGGGAAAGCGGGGACCUUUCGGGCUCGCAUCAUUAGGGCGGCUGACAUCGGAUUAGCUAGUUGCGGGGUAACGGCUCACCGCCGCGACGAUCCGUAGCUGGUUUGAGAGGACGACCAGCCACACUGGGACUGAGACACGGCCCAGACUCCUACGGGAGGCAGCAGUGGGGAAUUUUUGACGCCAAUGGGAAACCCUGAUCCAGCCAUCUCUGGCGUGCGAUGAAGGCUCGGGUUGUAAAGCACUUUUGGCAGGAAAGAAUCGGCACGGGAUAAUACCCUGUGCAACUGACGGUACCUGCAGAAUAAGCACCACAACUACGCCAGCAGCCGCGGUAUACGUAGGUGCGCGUUAAUCGGAAUUACUGGCGUAAAAGCGCGGCAGGCGGCUCCGGUUAAGAUGAAACCCCAGAGCUUAACUUUGGAAACUGCAUUUUUAACUACCGAGCUAGAGUGUGUCAGAGGGAGGUGGAAUUCCGCGUGUAGCAGUGAAAUGCGUAGAUAUGCGGAGGAACACCGAUGGCGAAGGCAGCCUCCUGGGAUAACACUGACGCUCAUGCACGAAAGCGUGGGGAGCAAACAGGAUUAGAUACCCUGGUAGUCCACGCCCCAAACGAUGUCAACCAGCCAGUUGCCUUCGGGCCUCGGUAGCGCAGCUAACGCGUGAAGUUGACCGCCUGGGGAGUACGGUCGCAAGAUUAAAACUCGAAGGAAUUGACGGGAUCUAUGGCUGCUGGUGGAUGAUGACUAAUUCGAUGCAACACGAAAAACCUACUUCAUUCCUUGACAUGUCUGGAACCCCGAAGAGAUUUGGGAGUAGCGCUCGCAAGAGAACCGGGAACACAGGUGCUGCAUGGCUGUCGUCAGCCCGGUCAGGAGAUGUUGGGUUAAGUCCCGCAACGAGCGCAACCUUGUCAUUAGUUGCUACGAAAGGGCAAUUCUAAUGAGACUGCCGGUGACAAACCGGAGGAAGGUGGGGAUGACGUCAAGUCCUCAUGGCCCUUGCGGGUAGGGCUUCACACGUCAUACAAUGGUCGGGACAGAGGGUCGCCAACCCGCGAGGGGGAGCCAAACUUGCGAAACCCGAUCGUAGUCCGGAUCGCAGUCUGCAACUCGACUGCGUGAAGUCGGAAUCGCCAGUAACGCGGAUCAGCAUGUCGCGGUGAAUACGUUCCCGGUCUGUACACACCGCCCGUCACACCAGGGAGUGGGUUUUACCAGAAGUAGUUAGCCUGACCGUAAGGAGGGCGAUUACCACGGUAGGAUUCAUGAUCAGUGAAGCCGUAACAAGGUAG